UGGGGAAUAUUGGGCAAUGGGCGAAAGCCUGACCCAGCAACGCCGCGUGAAGUAUGAAGGCCUUCGGGUUGUAAACUUCUUUGAUCAGGGAAGAAACAAAUGACGGUACCUGAAAAACAAGCCACGGCUAACUACGUGCCAGCAGCCGCGGUAAUACGUAGGUGGCGAGCGUUAUCCGGAUUUAUUGGGUUUAAAGGGAGUGUAGGCGGUUGGUUAAGCGUGUUGUGAAAUGUAGAUGCUCAACAUCUGACUUGCAGCGCGAACUGGCUGACUUGAGUACACACAACGUAGGCGGAAUUCAUGGUGUAGCGGUGAAAUGCUUAGAUAUCAUGAAGAACUCCGAUUGCGAAGGCAGCUUACGGGAGUGUUACUGACGCUUAAGCUCGAAGGUGCGGGUAUCGAACAGG
rnacentral:rRNA from 1 species